rnacentral:rRNA from 1 species
UACGUAGGGUGCAAGCGUUGUCCGGAAUUAUUGGGCGUAAAGAGCUCGUAGGCGGUUUGUCGCGUCUGCUGUGAAAUCCCGAGGCUCAACUUCGGGCUUGCAGUCGAUACGGGCAGGCUAGAGUUCGGUAGGGGAGACUGGAAUUCCUGGUGUAGCGGUGAAAUGCGCAGAUAUCAGGAGGAACACCGAUGGCGAAGGCAGGUCUCUGGGCCGAUACUGACGCUGAGGAGCGAAAGCGUGGGGAGCGAACAGG